GAUGAACGCUGGCGGCGUGCUUAACACAUGCAAGUCGAACGGAAAGGCCCAAGCUUGCUUGGGUACUCGAGUGGCGAACGGGUGAGUAACACGUGGGUGAUCUGCCCUGCACUUCGGGAUAAGCCUGGGAAACUGGGUCUAAUACCGGAUAGGACGAUGGUUUGGAUGCCAUUGUGGAAAGUUUUUUCGGUGUGGGAUGAGCUCGCGGCCUAUCAGCUUGUUGGUGGGGUAAUGGCCUACCCAGGCGUCGACGGGUAGCCGGCCUGAGAGGGUGUACGGCCACAUUGGGACUGAGAUACGGCCCAGACUCCUACGGGAGGCAGCAGUGGGGAAUAUUGCACAAUGGGCGCAAGCCUGAUGCAGCGACGCCGCGUGGGGGAUGACGGCCUUCGGGUUGUAAACUCCUUUCGCUAGGGACGAAGCGUUUUUGUGACGGUACCUGGAGAAGAAGCACCGGCUAACUACGUG
rnacentral:rRNA from 1 species